AAACCGGUGUUUCUCAACACCACCAUAUGUACGGGUCGUAUUUAGG
rfam:Chlamydomonas reinhardtii strain CC-503 cw92 mt+ CHLREscaffold_39 genomic scaffold, whole genome shotgun sequence.